UUCUUUUCCUUCUAGUUUUGUGUGGAGGGAGCGAUGGGUGGGUGGGGAGGAGCCUUCAUCUGUGCUGUCGUAUUUCACUCACUACAUGCUGGUCUUUGGUCUCGGCCUCGUCCUCGUGUCCUUCAGUGACCCGCCGCGGCUCCUUCAGAACAUGCAGGGCGGGACUGCCGGGAUGGCCUGGGACACACUGGGACGCCCUGCCAUGACCUCACGUAGCGCCGCGCCAGGGAAGAUCUCACACGUCGCCUGCCCGCCCCUUCUGCGUGGUCCCUGCUGGCGGCACGUCUUUCCAGGGAGGAUGUAGACUUGUACAGUAUUCAGUGCUUCGGAACGCUUCACGGAACCCUUGAAGCAGCUUUACUGCGUGGCAGCGCGUGGUGGGGCCAGGGCAGGCAGUCACUCGUGCUGCAGCGUGGCGGGCGGAGGGUCUUUCUCCACCAGAUUUGGGAAGUGUAGCAUGACCCAAACCAAAGGAGGGUUAGGGAGCGAGUGCUGCUGGCAGUGUGGACCCGCAGGGACCCUCAAAGUGAAACCUGCAAGAUAUCAUCAAAAUCACAGAGCAGCCAGCAGCUUAGUGGUCAGAGGAUGGAAGAGGUGAGGCUCUUGGUUCCAUGAGAGCUGACCAUCUGAUGCCACUUGCCCAUUUUUCAAGAAAGCAUUAACAUGAGCAGGGGAAAAGGAACAAAGACAGCAGCCAUAAAGAAUCUGGACUGGGGAAUGGCUGGUGUGAUUCGGGGGUGUUGCGAAGCUCAAGGAGACCCUGUCAAACACCUUGCAGUUGUUAAUACUGCCAGAGGGGGCCACUUUCUGG